UUUUAAAGCAGUAAAUGCAGUCAGAACAGAGAGAGAGAUCCCUGGGAGCCUUCCUAUUCAAAAAUGUGUAAGCUCAGGGCAGCAACUGCAAUGUAAUUUAGGGCAGUAUAUGCUUCAUAGCUUUGGAGAAUAUUGCCUCUUGUUAAUGUUGCAUUGGAGGACAGUGGGAUAGCAGUAAUUUCAGAAAGGUGGUGUUCCUGUUUGUUUUACAUUGGAAACUUCAGAAUAAAUGAAGGGAAGCAUCAGCUGAGGAAGAAGCGUGACUGCCGAGCGCCAGCAGAGAAUCCAGCCCUGAGCAGGCUGUGGGAACCACGGGGAAAGGGGGCACAGGAGCAUUUUCCUGGGAAUGCAGCUGCACAGGGAGCACAGCAGACAAAGGCAGAAUCAGCCUUCCUCUUGCUGAUGACCGGGUUCCUGUUUGAUCCUGUUUACAAGCUUCCCAAGACUGAAAAUAACCCCAGCUCCUCUGCACUGGCGCUUGGAAGCAGAAGGAAGCAAAGAGGAGUUGAGAACUGAAGCUGGGAGACUUGGCAGCUAAUUCAGAGGCACAAUUGUGUGAGCAGCCCCUUGGCAAGAGGACCCAGUGCAGCCUGUGACAGAACUGAGUGGAGAUGAUCCCAAGCUGAGAGUCACAACAGGAUCUGCUUUGAGUUCACCCAGCGACCUGCAGGCUCAUCCAGCACCCAGCACAGGUAAGAGAUCUCCACAGAACCUGCAUUCCCCAGGUGUUGUAGCAUCCCAGCCAUAACCCCUGCUCUGCAGUGC
rnacentral:lncRNA from 1 species